AAGACUAUAGACCUGCGGAGUACCUGCGGAGGGAUCAUUAACGAGUGUAACUUACCCUUUUUUUUAAAAGAGGGUAGUACCUCCUGUCCUUUGUAGGCCCCUUUUUAUUGGGGGGCUUUUUAAGACUUUCUGCUUCGGCGGGGUUAUUCCCGCCGGAACACCCUCAAAAAACUCUUCAAAAACUAAUUCAGUCCGAGAAUUUUUGAAAAUAAAAAAAACUUUUAACAACGGAUCUCUAGA
rnacentral:misc_RNA from 1 species